CUGCUAAUGAAUGGUAAUUCUACGUUGAUCAUGAGGAGGUUGGCGCUCUUUCUCCAAUCUACUUACAAGUUCAUUGAAGCUGGAGCAAGAAUACCAUCUCUUUCUCGAGUCUCAUCCUCCACCACAACCUUUUAUACUCCUCUUCCCAGCUUUAAUCUUAAACAUGGAGUAAGUAUAUAAACAAAUGUCUUUAUGGCUAAUAUAUAUACACACAUAGUUAUUAAUUAUAUAUGCUCUCUGUCUAAUUAGGAUGCGGAAUGUGGUGACGAUGAAAUCCAGGUUGUUGAAAUUGUGGCUGAUGAUAAUACUGUACAAUCAAACAAUGAUCACAUCGACAUUGAUCAAAGUACUCAUCAGCAAUGCCUACAAAUUAGUGAAGAGAUUGUGAAGGAGAAGAAGUUGGAUUGGAGUGAUAUUCAUGAUGUUGACAAGGGAAUUCAUGUUGGAGACAAUUCUGGUCGUCACAUGCUGAUCUUCACAGGGUACAUCAUCCGACAAUUGGCAUGCAAGGAACCGACUAUUUUUCUCCUUGCAAUUGCUGCAAUAUUGUCGUUUGCCUUUGGAAUCAAAGAAGAAGGUGUGCAUAAUGGUUGGUUUGAAGGAGCACUUCUGGUUGUGAUUAUACUUGUGAUUGUUUCGUUUAAGUUUGUACGAAAUUGGUACAAAAGACACCUUUGGAAGAAGCAAAAAGAUAACAAAGAAACGAAGAAUUACCCCCUGUUCAUUUCUGAAACGGACCCCAGCUUUUGUGCCUGUUUUGACAAGUUGAACAAUUAUAUACAUAUUAGUGGGUUGUUGAUUGGCAUUUUGAUCACUGUGGUGCUGUUCAUUCGCUUUAAAUUGGGCCAUAAGGAUGACGAAAAUGGAUAUAGAUUAGAAACCAAGGAAGAACCAGCUGAAAUUGCACAGAAUAAUGAAUGCCGUGAAAAAGGUUUUAACAGAAUCAAAGGGAACAGUAAGAGUUCUGAUAACUUUACUUGGUGUCACACUGGUAGGGAUGACUGAAGGGGUACCAUUUCUUAUUUCAAUUACAAUGGCAUAUUGGUAUCCGAAUUUUGAUGUUAAAAUGGAAUCAGUCAGCACCCUAUGUAUAGAAAAUGUUGGCUGGUUGAAAGAGCAAAAACUGGAAGUUAGUCAGUUUUUUCUUGGCAAAAAAAAUGUUACCAAGAUACCGCCAGAUGUCUGCAGUGUUCUCUCAGAUGGAAUUUGUGUGUCCACUCUGACUUCUCAAACAACCGGCCAAAGAAUGGAAGAACCAAUACUCUGUUGGGCAGAGAAGAACAUGGGUAUGCAGAGAGACACUUUAGAUCAGCAGUUCAUAAUAGUGAAGGACAAUGAUAGUGAGAUGAAUCCUUUUGAAGGACCUUGUGGAGUUGUCAUAGAGAAAAAUGGAGAUAACGGGAAGGAGUACUAUUCACACUUCAAAGGACGGGCUGAUUCAAUAUUGUCAAUGUGUUCAAGUUACUAUGACAUGAAGGGAGAAGUGCAGGAUUUGGAUGACGAAACAAAGAGUGAAUUUGCUCAAGCUAACAACAACAAUGUGAACGUAGUUGCAUUUGCCUGCAAACGUACACAGGUUGUUGAACUUGAUGAAAAUGGCCUAACAUUCAUUGGUAUGUUUGUCUUAGAAGAUAAUUUCAAUCUAGACAACAUGAGGCAAGGAAUUGAGAUUCUGAAAGAAGGUGGAGUGAAGAUGAUAUUUGCCUCGGAAGAAGAUGUUGAAGUGCUUCGUGCCAUUGGUGAUGAAACAGGAUUGCUCAACUCACAUGAUGCUCUAGUAGUUAGGGGUGCAGAUGCUACGAAGGAAAAUGUUGAGAAAAUUUGCAUUAUGGGAAAUUCCUCUCCCACACACAAGCUUCUUUUAAUAGAGGAGUUGAAGAAAAGAGAAGUGGUGGCUGUGGUAGGAGAACAAGCAUCUGAAAGUAAUGUGGUUCUUGAAGCAGCUCAUUUUGGCCUGCCUGUGGUGACUAACUGGCCUGAAACUAUAAAUUAUGUGAUUAACAGCAUCAGGGGAGGAAGAAUUGUUUGUGAGAAUCUGAGGCAAUUCAUCCAAGUUGAGGUAAUCCUGGCAAUCAGUAGCUUAUCAAUAAACUUCAUACUGGUUAUAUUAGACGGAGAUGCCCCGUUAACAUUCAUUCAGUUGGUAUGGGUUAACCUUCUUGUUACAUUUAUUGGAGGGCCAGCUUUGCUAAUUACUCAACAGGCCACAAGAGAACUAAGGGAUAAGCUUUCUAUCAGACCAAGAAAACUGCCAAUUACCAAGGGCAUGUUGAGAAACAUACUUCUUCAAGUUUCUUAUCAGACUGGUAUUUUUGUAUUCCUUCAACACAGAGGAAGUGCAAUACUGGGCAUCACUCCAAAAGUUAACAGAUCUAUAGUCUUUAACGGGUUCGCUCUGUGCCAGCUUUUUAACAUAUUCAGUGCAAGGGGAUUUGGAGCAGAGGAAUUAUUUCAAAGGUCUCGGUCAAAAUUACUUGUUUUGGGCAUUGUCUGGGCUCUAUCUUGUGUUGCAGUUUGGAUUCAUUGAAUUAGAGGCUUUCUUGUUUAGCAACACGGCACGACUGAAUUGGAAGCAAUGGGCUGAAUCCAUUUUAAUUGGAGCUGUCACAUGGUUGCUUGAUGUGAUAGUAAAAUGGGCAUCACAAUACAUAAAGAUGGUCAAAUAUUGUGACCCUGGAGUUCUUCACCUAGGUAGAAACUGGUUACAGGAUUGGUUUGCCAGAGUCAAUUGCUGGGACAGUGGACAAAGUAGCACACCAAAUCCAACUCUUGCUUCUUUGGAUUCUCCAAGAUCCUCUAGUGGAAAGGUACUAUACAAAUUUAUCCAUACUGCCUAAUUACAGAAAAUUCAAAGAGUCUUUUCCUUUUAUUCCUAAAACAAUUUGGAUUCAAGUUGUAGUUGUUCUUUUGCAGGGCUGGAUAACAAAUAUAACACGUCGUGUUAAACCAACCAAGGAUAGAACUAAUACUUUGAUGGAUUAAUCAUAUGUUGCAGUAGCUUUAAUUUUUAGUAUAAAUUUUUCACUGUUUUAUUUAUAGGGAUUAGAUACACCUGCAACAACAGUAAAGUUGUCUCCAUGUGACCUAUAGGUUACGGGUUCGAACCAUACUGGAAUCAGCGGACCUAGUCAAUGCAGGAUGAUUAAGGCACUAGGCUACCCUUUUUAGUCUGUAUGGGCUAGUUAAUUUAUGUUAAUUCAUUUCGUCAAGUUUUUGGUUUCUCGUAUGCAUUGGAUGGAGAUAAAAAAAAAAGGUUUGUUCUUGUUCUCUCGUUCUUCUUCUUUUCACUUUUAACUAAAUUCAAGAAUGCAAACUUACUAUAUAGUACUAAUAUAUACAAAAAGCAAGAUUUUUAUGAAUUUCAAACACAUGGAAAUUUGCUCAAAAUCAUAAAGGAAGCUAGUCAGUACACAUGAUUCUACCAAUUGGCUCGUGCAAGAAGAUAAAUAAUUAAAUAUCAUAUAAUAUGCAAAAAUAUAACUUAAUUACCUCGAUGCAUAUUUUCUUCAACUUGCUGUAAUGUAUUAGACAGAGCUCUUGUUGAGGAGAAACUGACAAUCCAGCAAUGCCUCUUUCUUUGUUGUAUUUUCAUCCGCUAAACUUAGUAGAAAAUGCACGAUGACUCGCAAAAAUAUUUUACAGAAAUAAUUAGUACAAAUAAUUAACAUCUAGAAGGUUGGAACAACAAAAAUGUACUUGGACAUUAAAAAAUAAUAAUUCUAAAAUGCAAUGAAACAAUUAACAUCUAGGUUUGAAGGUAGAAUUGUUCAAACUUCACCCAUAUAUCCCCAAUUUUUAACUCCAAUCACACGUAUGAAUAUGUGCGCGUGUUUUUGUUGUUAGUUGUAUUUACUAAUUACUAUGUAGGGAAAAAUGUUUGAAAUAUAUUCAAACUUUGACCGAAAUUGCUGUAAUAAUAUCGAACUUUGGAAAGGAUCGUUUAUCCCUGCACUAUUUAAUAGUGUAUUUUAAAGGUAUAUAUGUGCUCAUGUGAACAUCAUAAAUAUUGCAUAAUUAUAAAUAGUAACGUGUCCACGUGGGCACAUAUAUACCUUUAAAAUACAAUAUUAAAUAGUGUAGGAGGGUAAAAGGUCCUCCAUAAGGUUUGGUAUCAUAACAACAAUUUCGGCCAAAGUUAAAGUAUUUUUCAGACCCUUUUCCCUACUAGAUAUGUAUAUGAGGGCAAGAUCAAUUGAUAUAUGUAUGUAUACCCUAUUGUUACAUGUAAGUCUACCAUUAUUGAUCGAGUCCACUCAAUGAAAUGAAAAGAAUUUUUAAAUAAUUUUUUAUUUCUACCCUUAAUAUUAAUUAACUGCAUAAAAUAAUAGUAGUCAAAUUUAAUAACGAUCAUAAAAAUAAUAUUAAACUUUGUGAUAAAUUCAUAAAAAUAUUAUUCUAUUUAUAAUAUUAAUGAACUUAAAGAAAAUUUUUAUAAAUAGUUAGGUUAAAAAAUAAAUUAUAUAUAAAAGAGGUAUUACAUAUAUGUGAUAUAACAAGGGUAAAAAGAAUAAUGCAUAGAGUAUAGGGGGAGUUUGAUGAUUGUUUAAAAUUGAGGAAAAGUUUGAUUUUUAAAGCAAAGUUGGAGGGUGAAUAUAUAUAUUUUUUUUCAAAUACUGGUGGACAAAAAUGUGUGUGUGGGGUGAAGUGGUGAUGGUGGGAUCAAAUGAAAAAUUGUGAAUACCGCGUUAUAAAAACGAACCAGCGUUGGGAAAUUGUUUUGGACAAAAUGAGUAUUAACAUUUCGCGACACAAAGCUGAGAAAAACUAAACACUUGAUUAGCAUAAUUACCUAGGAGAAAUUUCUAGGAAGCUGCAUUUCACCACUUGUUUAGAAAGUAGAAAUGAGAAAAUAAGUUCCACAAUGUAGUUUGACGAACUGAGUAAUACAAACCUUCGUCAAAAAAGCACCUAUAAUUUAACAAGCAUUUCACUUGCUAAAAAAAUUAGCAAAGAUUCAAUCGUUAAUCAUAAAGUAGCGUCGACAGAUUCAGAUAGAUUAUAGUAUAAUAAAAACAAUAUUAAUUGUUUCUGGUUCACGUUUUAACAUUUGAAAUUUGUAACUUUCAAAUAAAUUAUAGGUUUGCAUAUUAUACUUUUAACUAUAUAUAUUAUUAUUGUCGUCUUGAAGUUUGAAGGACCGAGAAUAUUAAUUCAAAUUGACUUAAGUCAUUUAUAAGGGAUGCAUGACAUUGUUGGUGAUGUCAUGCCUUAAGAAAAAAACGUUGAUGGAACAGCGCAGGGUGGUGCUAGGAAGCUCCCUUUCCUCCCCUCUCUCUAUAUUUUUACGAUCCUUUUCAAUGAUCAUACUAGCUAAUCACAACAAAGUGCUUUCUUAUUUUAUACUAGCUAGAUCUUAAAAAAGAAUUAGUAGUGUGCACGUACGGCGACAGUACUAGCUAGUAGUGAUCGAAGGUCAGAUAAGUAUAAUAUACAGCUAGCUAGGAUGAUGGAGGUGGAUCAUGAAGAUAAUGGAACAGACAUUGAAGCUCAGCGGAGUUCUCCGUUGUCAAUGAAUGGUACUGAAUUAAGUAAUUCUAGUUUGAUCAUCAUGAGGAGGUUGGCGUUCAUUUUCCUAUCUAUUUACAAGUUCAUUGAAGCUGGAGCAAGCAUAGCAUCAUCUCUUUCACCAGUGUCAUCGUCGUCCUCAACAUCCAACACAACCUUUUAUACUCCUCAUACCAGCUUGAAUCUUGAACAUGGAGUAUGUAUAUCAUCACAACCUUUCAAUUUCAUUUGUUUUAGGAGUAUUGACUCCAUAUUUUACAUUUUUAAGUUAGACUUGAUAAAUUAUAUAAUUUUAUAUUUAUAGUAUUAUUCUUUUUAUCAAACAUGCAUUUUAUGAAAUUAUGUACUUUUUGUUUUUAUGAUUAGUAUAAUUAAAAUAUACUAAAUUGAAAAAUACAAAUCAAUUAGUUUUUAUAAUAUUAGUCAAGAACAUAUGUUUAUUAAUUAAUAUAUUUUCAAAAGACAAUAUAUAUCUUAAAUAUUCAAUUUAAUAUCAUUUAUAAAGGGCAUUAUUAGUCUAAUAUAAAUUUUAAUUUUAAUUUUUAAAAUUCAAUAUAACCUUAUGAUUACACUUGUGCAAUAAAACAUUACACUUGUAAUUAGGGGUGUGCAUUCGGUUUUACAGUUUGGAUUUGUACUAUUUGGUUUGGAUUUUUCGGUUUUUGAUUUUGAAGAAGUGUAACCCAAUCCGAAUCAAAAUAAAUUUGGUUUGGUUUGGUAUUUUUCCUUUUGGUUUGAGUUUUUUCGGUUCGAUUAAUCGGUUAUGUCGAUAAUUAGAAACAUAACAAAGUUAUAUUUGUAAUUUGAAUAUAUAUAGUUUUUUUGGUUUCUUUUUUCUAAAUCUGAAACCAAACCAAAAAAACAAACAAAAUAAAUCAUAGAUUCAAAACCGAAUCAGAAAUCCAAAAAAUCAAUCCAAAUUAGAAUUCGAUUUGAUUUGGUUUGAUUUUUCUGUUUAAUUCAAAAUAGUGCAUACCCCUACUUGUAAUUACACUGUGGCAAACAAACAAAUCAGCGUAAUUACUAGAUUGUGUAAUUUACUAGGCUGGUAAUUACUACAAUAAUAAUUACCCCAAUUCCAAUCACUCAGUGGCUUUCCAAACAUACUAUUACAUAUUUCUUAACAUCUAGUAUUUAGAACAUUAUCUUUUUCCUAUUCCAACUAUAUCAUUGAUUUGUCCCUCUAAGUUUUUAUUGUUACAAGAGUUACAUUUAUGGCAUAGUCUUUAUCCAUAAUAUUAUAAUCGAUUAGAUAAUUAACUGUCACUUGUAAUUUAUAGAUGAAUACAGUCACUUUAUAACUCUUUCGUUUAAAAUUAAGUUAGGAGGUGAAAAUGUUGUGAAAAUAUUUUAAUUACUCUAUAUUUAACUUAUUAGAUAUUUAUAACAUUUUUAAUUAUGAUAGGGGUAAAAUGGUAUUUCAACUUUACUUUUGUGGCUUCGUGUUAAAUAAUAACAAAAGUCUCACAUUGAUGGUUAAUGAGAUUAGUGAUCUCUUUAUAAGCUUGGUCAAUCAUCCUCUCUUUAAUCUAGCUUUUAGGGUGUGAGUAAAGUCCAAGACCUAAUUUUCACACUUCUCACUCUUAUAGUAUGACUAGUAUUUGGGCACGUGCGGUGCGCGUAUAUCCCUUACCAGUGAGCAUAAGUAUUUUUCAAAAUUGCAUCAAUAUGAUAAAUAUAUUCAAAAAUCAAUGACAUCCAAUGUCUAAAAUGUCCAACUUUGAAGAUUCUUAAUUAGUACUAAAUUGAUUUUAAUUUGAAUUUAUGAGUUAAAAUUUGAUAUGAAUUUGUCAAAUUUUAGUAGUUUUUAUAUAGAUAUUAUGUUUUGAUUUAAAAAAUAAUUAAGUUAAUUAAAUCCAUAAAUUAUAGGCUUAAUAUGCUCAUAUCAUCAAUUAACCGUUGUCCUACCUCCAAAAUCAAUAUUACAUUUCUAAACGAAAUUCAUUUGAUGCGACUCAACGCAAUUAUAAUAUUUUUUGUAGUUAGAAAAGGAAUUCAACAUUUCAUUUAUAUUUUGUCGACUGUAUUGUUAACAUUGUAAUUGAGAAACAAAAAGACAUGUAUUGUUUUAUGUUGUCAAAAAAAAGAAGAAACAAAAAGACAUGAUAAAAAAUAAUAUUAUGACAUGUGAGUGAUAAGUAAUAUAAAUUCUGAAGGAGAAAGGGAGGGAUAAACUAUGGCUCAAAUAACUAAAAUAAUCAACGAAAAUUAAAACAAAGAAAGUUAAUAUAAUUUCGUGAGAAAAAUAACCAAAAGAUGAUAUUGUAUUCAUUCCUUUCUUUCUUAACAUGGGUUGUUUAUCCUCCCUCUUCUUUCUUUUUGGAUGAAAGCUCCAUUAAAAAAAUUAAAUUCAGACAAAGAAAGUGAAGUCAAAUAGGCAAUGAAUAUCAAAUCACUCAACAUGCCAUAGCUCAUAAAUACAUUUUUUACUUUUAUUGGGUUAUGACGAUUAAUAUCAAAAUUCAAUACUUAAUUAGCUUUACACACAAAUAAAUCACACGAAUCUGCAUAUGAAAAUUCAAUAAACUUGACCUACUAUUGACAAAAUAAAAAUAAAAAAGAAAAGAAAAACCAAACAAAGAAUAUUGUGCUAACAAAAAAAUUAUGUUAGAAGGAAAUGUCACUUACCCCAUUUGUAUCGACACAACUCAAAGUACAGUUCUAUGCGAUUGACACAGAAGCAUCUCAUCAAUUGAUUUUUUCUGCAACAAAAAAAAUCAUCUCAUA
rnacentral:lncRNA from 1 species